UGCCAGAGACCAUCAGAUCUCUCUCUCUCUCUCUUUUUUUUGUCUUUUAACUGGUUACUGAUCCUUUUUAAUGUGAGGUCCUUGUAAGAGUGCAUGCACGCGAAAGUAUUGACAGGUUGGUAGUUGUUGAAUGCAAAGCCUCUUUGCUAUCAGUUUAGCAGUCUUUUCGUAAUGAUGGUCCAGAAAUUGGAUGAUGGGGAACACGGUAUUGCUUGAAAAGUACUUUCCACACAUAGAAUCGGCUGGUUGAUUUUUCUUUAUUACAUUUAGUUUUUUUCAUGUUUCUGUUCCUUCCAUCAUAAUAUUAGCCUUUAUAGCAAAUGUACAGGCCUUUUGUACUCAUUGAAGCUGUAUGAAGAAUUGGUGACGUGAUGGUCGUGAUCUCAACAGUCGUGACAUAGUUUAAGGCAUUUCUAGCAAUGCUCUUUCAGCAAAACAUGGAUUCGGUUUCCUUUAAUCAGCAGCAAAAGCCUCAGUUCACUGGUCAACCAUACAAUUCCGACCGCCACAUUCACCGGUCAGCAAAUCACCUCCGGCAGCCGCAGCUCACUAGUCAUCCGCCUCCGCGUCCGCCACUGCCUCUUUAUCAAUCUCUACAGUGUAUUUUGCCACUGUUGUGUUUGAUGAUAAAGAAUGUGCGUAAAUUAUCUAUUAGGGAUGUACAACGGCUUAUUGAAGAGCUUCCACAUUAACAAAAAUGCUGUGAGCAGAGCAAUUCUCAACAAGGUAUAUUAAUCAUUCAGUUUAAUUCAAGUAGAUCGACUCGUUAACAACCUUAGAUGCGGUGGCCCUAGCCCCUAGGUCUUCCAAAUUUUCAACGGCCGUUGGCAGUGUACUGAUGUAACACACGAAAAUCCACAUAUAUAGUUAAGCCACUAUAAGGCUUUGUGCCUUGUCACACAAGUUGUGUGCCACAACUUGCAAAGGAAGGGCUGUGAUUCCUAUAUAUUUUCUUCUUCAUUAAUAUUAUCUAUUGUGUUUAUCCUAUUAUAAUAACAUAUUUGUCAUUUUAUGUAAUGAUAUUUUAAGUAAUAACAAUAUUACUGGUUAUGGCAAUACCAUAAAACAUAAA